UACGUAGGGCGCGAGCGUUGUCCGGAAUUAUUGGGCGUAAAGAGCUCGUAGGCGGCUUGUUGCGUCUGCUGUGAAAUCCCGGGGCUUAACCCCGGGCGUGCAGUGGAUACGGGCAGGCUGGAGGCAGGCAGGGGAGAAUGGAAUUCCCGGUGUAGCGGUGAAAUGCGCAGAUAUCGGGAGGAACACCGGUGGCGAAGGCGGUUCUCUGGGCCUGUUCUGACGCUGAGGAGCGAAAGCGUGGGGAGCGAACCGG
rnacentral:rRNA from 1 species